rnacentral:rRNA from 1 species
CCUACGGGAGGCAGCAGUGGGGGAUAUUGCACAAUGGGGGAAACCCUGAUGCAGCGACGCCGCGUGGGCGAAGAAGUAUUUCGGUAUGUAAAGUCCUAUCAGCAGGGAAGAAGAAAUGACGGUACCUGAGCAAGAAGCACCGGCUAAAUACGGGCCAGCAGCCGCGGUAAUAUGUAUGGUGCAAGCGUUAUCCGGAUUUACUGGGUGUAAAGGGAGCGCAGGCGGCACGGCAAGCCUGAUGUGAAAGCCAGCGGCUCAACCGCGGGACUGCAUUGGGAACUACCGGGCUGGAGUGCCGGAGAGGUAGGCGGAAUUACGAGUGUAGCGGUGAAAUGCGUAGAUAUUAGGAGGAACACCAGUGGCGAAGGCGGCCUACUGGACGGUGACUGACGCUGAGGCUCGAAAGCGUGGGGAGCAAACAGGAUGAGAUACCCGUGUAGUC